AGCAUAUGGCACUAUUGAAGAAGAUAAUGCCUCAUUUUCACCUUUAAACACACACAUUAUACAGUGUAGUGCUUUGAAAAGACAUCUUUGCUACCACAGUGCUCGUCCAACAGGUUCUUUAGGGCCAAAUAUGGCUGUUAUCAGCGGCCGCAGCAUGACUGCAGUUCAGAGCAACUGAAAGUGUCAGAGGAAGACAGAUUAAAACCAGCAGCUGUAAGAAAACCAUUGAGAAAAAAUGUGUUUGUCUUCCUCUCACGACGACCUCGACUCACCCACUCACAUCCUGCAUAUCUAAUCCACUCAAGACGGAAGUGAAGAAUGAGAAGAGGAGAAUAUGAGGAUGAGGAGCGUCUUGUGAUGAGAUGAGACUCUCAGAGAGGAUGGAGGACAGAAACACAGCCAUGAUCGUGUUGCUCCUGCUCUGCGUCACAGCAGAGAUGCGGGUAGACGGCUUCUCUGUGGAUGUGUGUGCUAGCUGCCAUCCUAAAGCUACAUGUGACGAAAAGUCAGACGGAUCUGGAAAAGUCUGUAACUGCAUGUACGGGUUCGUUGGCAAUGGGAGAACUUUUUGUCAAG